rnacentral:rRNA from 1 species
UGGUAUGCACUGGCUCGCUGACUCCUCCUUCUUGUAGAACCGUAAUGCCAUUAAUUUGGUGUUGCGGGGAAACAGGACUGUUACUUUGAAAAAAUUAGAGUGUUUAAAGCAGGCCAACGCCUGAAUACAUUAGCAUGGAAUAAUGAAAUAGGACGUUCGAACCUAUUUUGUUGGUUUCUAGGAUUGACGUAAUGAUUAAUAGGGAUAGUUGGGGGCAUUAGUAUUCAAUUGUCAGAGGUGAAAUUCUUGGAUUUAUUGAAGACUGACUACUGCGAAAGCAUUUGCCAAGGAUGUUUUCAUUAAUCAAGAACGAAAGUUAGGGGAUCGAAGACGAUCAGAUACCGUCGUAGUCUUAACCAUAAACUAUGCCGACUAGGGAUCGGAUGAUGUUAAUUUUUUAAUGACUCAUUCGGCGGC